UACGAAGGGGGCUAGCGUUGCUCGGAAUCACUGGGCGUAAAGCGCACGUAGGCGGAUUGUUAAGUCAGGGGUGAAAUCCUGGAGCUCAACUCCAGAACUGCCUUUGAUACUGGCGAUCUUGAGUCCGGGAGAGGUGAGUGGAACUGCGAGUGUAGAGGUGAAAUUCGUAGAUAUUCGCAAAGAACACCAGUGGCGAAGGCGGCUCACUGGCCCGGUACUGACGCUGAGGUGCGAAAGCGUGGGGAGCAACAGGG
rnacentral:rRNA from 1 species